AAAUGAAUAGACGGGGACCCGCACAAGCAGCGGAGCAUGUGGUUUAAUUCGAAGCAACGCGAAGAACCUUACCAAGGCUUGACAUCCCUGCGCCGUAGUUGGAAACAGCUAUUUCCCUUAUGGGACGCGGGAGACAGGUGGUGCAUGGUUGUCGUCAGCUCGUGUCGUGAGAUGUUGGGUUAAGUCCCGCAACGAGCGCAACCCCUAUCUUUAGUUGCCAGCAUUUUGGGUGGGCACUCUAGAGAGACUGCCGGGGACAACUCGGAGGAAGGUGGGGACGACGUCAAAUCAUCAUGCCCCUUAUGUCUUGGGCUACACACGUGCUACAAUGGUCCGUUACAGAGGGCAGCGAAGCGGUGACGCGGAGCCAAUCCCAGAAAACGGAUCCCAGUUCGGAUUGUGGGCUGCAACUCGCCCACAUGAAGUCGGAGUUGCUAGUAAUCGCGGAUCAGCAUGCCGCGGUGAAUGCGUUCCCGGGUCUUGUACACACCGCCCGU
rnacentral:rRNA from 1 species